rnacentral:rRNA from 1 species
GACGGAGGAUGCAAGUGUUAUCCGGAAUCACUGGGCGUAAAGCGUCUGUAGGUGGUUCAAUAAGUCAACUGUUAAAUCUUGAGGCUCAACUUCAAAAAUCGCAGUCGAAACUAUUGGACUCGAGUAUAGUAGGGGUAAAGGGAAUUUCCAGUGGAGCGGUGAAAUGCGUAGAGAUUGGAAAGAACACCAAUGGCGAAAGCACUUUACUGGGCUAUUACUGACACUGAGAGACGAAAGCUAGGGUAGCAAAUGGG